rnacentral:lncRNA from 1 species
CCAGGCAAUUGGAGAAAGGCUUGUGAAAACUAGGAGAUGUAAGAUUGCAGAAGGAGGUGAUAUGUUUCCCUGCAACUGACAGCACCACCCACAGACACGCUCCAGCAGCUCUUACGCACGGUGGAGUCAGGCAGCCUGUGGAUAAACUAGCUUGUUCAGACCUAGAGGAUUGGCACAUCUAACUGGGACAUUGAAUAGCAAGGAAUAUGAAUGACGUGGAGCCACAGGGACAGAGUUUUGCUACAUUGCUCAGGCUGAUCUCUCCUCUUGGGCUCAAGUGAUCUGCCAGCCUUGGCCUCCUGAAGUGCUGGGAUUAUAGGCAUGAG